rnacentral:rRNA from 2 species
UACGUAUGGUGCAAGCGUUAUCCGGAUUUACUGGGUGUAAAGGGAGCGCAGGCGGUUCGGCAAGUCUGAUGUGAAAGCCCGGGGCUCAACCCCGGUACUGCAUUGGAAACUGUCGAACUAGAGUGUCGGAGGGGUAAGUGGAAUUCCUAGUGUAGCGGUGAAAUGCGUAGAUAUUAGGAGGAACACCAGUGGCGAAGGCGACUUACUGGACGAUAACUGACGCUGAGGCUCGAAAGCGUGGGGAGCAAACAGG